rnacentral:rRNA from 1 species
AGUGAACGCUGGCGGUAGGCCUAACACAUGCAAGUCGAACGGCAGCACAGGAGAGCUUGCUCUCUGGGUGGCGAGUGGCGGACGGGUGAGGAAUACAUAGGAAUCUACUCUGUCGUGGGGGAGAACGUAGGGAAACUUCCGCUAAUACCGCAUACGACCUACGGGUGAAAGCAGGGGACCUUCGGGCCUUGCGCGAUUGAAUGGGCAGAUGUCGGAGUAGCUAGGUGGCGGGGUAAAGGCCGACCAAGGCGACGAUCCGUAGCUGGUCUGAGAGGAUGAUCAGCCACACUGGAACUGAGACACGGUCCAGACUCCUACGGGAGGCAGCAGUGGGGAAUAUUGGACAAUGGGCGCAAGCCUGAUCCAGCCAUACCGCGUGGGUGAAGAAGGCCUUCGGGUUGUAAAGCCCUUUUGUUGGGAAAGAAAUCCAGCUGGCUAAUACCCGGUUGGGAUGACGGUACCCAAAGAAUAAGCACCGGCUAACUUCGUGCCAGCCGCCGCCGUAA